rnacentral:tRNA from 1 species
GCCCCCGUAGCUCAGUGGAUAGAGCAGCGGUUUCCUAAACCGCGUGUCGUGCGUUCGAGUCGCGCCGGGGGCGCCA